rnacentral:rRNA from 1 species
CCGCGGUAAUACGUAGGGGGCUAGCGUUAUCCGGAUUUACUGGGCGUAAAGGGUGCGUAGGCGGUCUUUCAAGUCAGGAGUGAAAGGCUACGGCUCAACCGUAGUAAGCUCUUGAAACUGGGAGACUUGAGUGCAGGAGAGGAGAGUGGAAUUCCUAGUGUAGCGGUGAAAUGCGUAGAUAUUAGGAGGAACACCAGUUGCGAAGGCGGCUCUCUGGACUGUAACUGCGCUGAGGCACGA